rnacentral:rRNA from 1 species
AUUGAACGCUGGCGGCAGGCCUAACACAUGCAAGUCGAACGAGUGGCGGACGGGUGAGUAAUGUCUGGGAAACUGCCCGAUGGAGGGGGAUAACUACUGGAAACGGUAGCUAAUACCGCAUACCAUCGGAUGUGCCCAGAUGGGAUUCGCUUGUAGGUGAGGUAACGGCUCACCUGGGCGACGAUCCCUAGCUGGUCUGAGAGGAUGACCAUCCACGAUGGAACUGAGACACGGUCCAGACUCCUACGGGAGGCAGCAGUGGGGAAUAUUGCACAUUGUGCGCAGUCCUUAUGCAGCCAUGCCGCGUGUAUGAAGAAGGCCUUCGGGUUGUAAAGUACUUUCAGCGGGGAGGCGUUACCCGCAGAAGAAGCACCGGCUAACUCCGUGCCAGCAGCCGCGGUAAUAC